ACGGAAGGCAGCAGUGGGGAAUAUUGCACAAUGGGCGAAAGCCUGAUGCAGCGACGCCGCGUGAGCGAAGAAGUAUUUCGGUAUGUAAAGCUCUAUCAGCAGGGAAGAUAAUGACGGUACCUGACUAAGAAGCACCGGCUAAAUACGUGCCAGCAGCCGCGGUAAUACGUAUGGUGCAAGCGUUAUCCGGAUUUACUGGGUGUAAAGGGAGCGUAGGCGGUUUUACAAGUCUGAUGUGAAAGCCCGGGGCUCAACUCCGGUAUUGCAUUGGAAACUGUAGAACUAGAGUGUCGGAGGGGUAAGUGGAAUUCCUAGUGUAGCGGUGAAAUGCGUAGAUAUUAGGAGGAACACCAGUGGCGAAGGCGGCUUACUGAACGAUUACUGACGCUGAGGCUCGAAAGCGUGGGGAGCAAACAGGAUUAGAUACCCUGGUA
rnacentral:rRNA from 1 species